rfam:Picea glauca, whole genome shotgun sequence.
UACCUAGUUGAUCCUACCAGUAGUCAUAUGCUUGUCUCAAAGAUUAAGCUUCCAUAUAUAAGUAUGAACUAGAUGAGAUUGUGAAACUACAGAUGGCUCAUUAAAUCAAAUAUAGUUCCUUUGAUGGUACCCUACUACUUGGAUAACAUUAGUAAUUCUAGAGCUAAUACAUGCACCAAGUCUUGACUCUUUGGAACAGAUUCAUUUAUGAGAUAAAAUUUUGACACAGGGUUUCCCACUUAUCUAAUAAAUCAUGAUAACUCGACGGAUCGCACAAACCUUGUGUUGGCAAUGCUUCAUUCAAAUUUAUUCCCUAUCAACUUUCAAUGGUAGGAUAGUGGCCUACCAUGGUGGUGAUGGGUGAUGGAGAAUUAGGGUUCAAUUCCAGAGAGGGAGCCUGAGAAGCAACAAUCACAUCCAAGGAAGGAAAGAGACGCACAAAUUACCCAAUCCUGACAUGGGGACGUAGUGACAAUAAAUAACAAUACUAGGCUCAUUAAAUCUAGUAAUUGGAAUAAGUACAAUCUAAAUCCCUUAACAAGGAUACAUUGGAGGGCAAGUCUUGUGCUAGAAUCCAUAGUAAUUCUCUCUCCAAUAGUGUAUAUUUAAUUUGUUGUAGUUAAAAAGAUCGUAGUUGGAUCUUGUGUAGUAAAGGUCGGUCUUCCUACUCUAUAUGCACCUGUUGUUCUGUCCCUUUUUCCAUCGAAAUUAUCUUAUCUUUAAUUGGUUGGGUCAUGGUUUUGGCACUGUUACUUUGAAAAAAUUAGAGUGCUCAAAGAAACCUUAUUCUCUGAAUAGAUUAGCAUGGAAUAAAGUGAUAAGAUUCUAGUCCUAUUGUGUUGGCCUUUGAGACUAGAGUAAUGAUUAAUAGGGACUAUCAGGGGCAUUCAUAUUUCAUUAUCUGAGGUUAAAUUAUUGGAUUUAUGACGGAAAAACCACUUUGAAAGAAUUUUCCAAGGAUGUUUUUAUUAAUUAAAUAUUGAAUUUGGGGGAUCAAAGAUGAUCAUAUAUUGUCCUAGUCUCAACCAUAAACGAUUUCGACCAGGGAUUGAUUGAUAUUUCUCUAAGGAAUCUGCCAACACCUUCUGAGAAAUCAAAGUGUUUGGGUUCUAGGGGGAGUAUGGUGGCAAGGUUAAAACUUAUACGAAUUGACAAAAGGGAACCACCAAGAGUGGAGCAUUCGGCUUAAAUUGACACAACACAGGAAAACUUACCAGUUCUAGACAUAGUAAGGAUUGACAGAUUGAUAGAUCUUUCUUGAUUCUAUGGGUGGUGGUGCAUGGUCAUUAUUAUUUGGUGGUUCGAUUUUUAUGGUUAAUUUCGAUAAUAAAUGAGACCUUGACCUAGCAAAUAUCUAUGCAUAGGUUCCCCUUCAAGGCCAACUUCUUAGAGGGACUAUGAACUUUUAGGUCAUGGAAGUUUGAGGAAAAAAUAGGAUGGUGAUGCCAUUAGAUUUUCUAGUCUGCACGUGCACUACACUGAUGCAAUCAAUGAGUUUUUCUCCCUGAUUCGAGAGUAUUGGGAAAUAUUCUCAAAUUUCAUUAUGAUGGGGAUAGACCAUUGAAAUUUUUGGUCUUAAAUGAGGAAUUCCUAGUAAGUGUAUGUCAAUAGCUCAUGUUGACUACAUCCCUUCCCUUUGUACACAUCGCUCGCCAAUCCUACCGAUUGAAUGAUCUGGGGAAGAGUUUGGAUCGUGUCAAUGAGGGUGGUUUGUCAUUGGUGACAUCAUGAGAAGUUCAUUGAAUCGUAUCAUAUAGAGGAAGGUGAGAAUAAUAAGGAUGGAUAUGUACAGGA